rnacentral:rRNA from 1 species
UAGGGGAGCUAUACUGGGAGUGCUCCACCUGUUCCCAUUCCGAACACAGAAGUGAAAUCUCCCAAGGCCGAUGAUAGUGGGUUUUUCCCGCUAAAGUAGGUAGCUCUCUUAC